rnacentral:lncRNA from 1 species
UCAUAGUCAUGCAUUAAGGAUCAAUAAUGGAGCUUGUUAGUGUUAGAGUCACUACAAAAUGCUUAUUUAUCAAUUAUCAAUAUCACAGUGAAAUCAAGUCAACAUAUUUGAAGAGAAAUGAAUUGGACUUUUGCAUAGAAAUAUGACACUUGUUAAAAUGAUUUGAUUGCAUGAAAUAGAAAAUGAUCAAUGAAUUGAUUUUGACCUAAAAAAUUUAACAAAUUCCCUCAUUGUUUUAUGGGCAUUUAUAGGUAUCAAGGUAUGCAUCUAUAUGAAAGCUUAGAUGUCAUUUUCUCCACAAAAAAUGGAGAUACACUGGAUUUGUGGCUCAAAAUUCUAUAGGUAAGAUAGUGUCUUUGUAAUCCAGUAUCUAUUCAAUAUCAGCCAGCCUUCCUCUGAACCCCGUUUCAAUCUUAUCUUCCGGCCCCGUCUGGAACCAGGAAGGAGAUCAACCCAUCUGUCUUGUGGCUCCAUUCGCAUGCGCGCCCGGGGAGAGUCAGAGGCCGUUACGCAUGGGGCAGGGAUCAUAUAUUCUCGUACGUCCGUAUCAACAUGGUAGGGACAGGUGGCCCAAUGAUAGACAGUUUGUUAUACGUCACUAUCAGUUAAAAGAAAAUAGAUAAAAGGAGGAUUGCCCUCCUCUAGGUGUAAGUUUUUUCCAAGUCCACAGAACCCUUGUAAAAUCUUAUUUUCUGGAUCUCAAAUCAUGGGAAGGCAAGUGGUGGAACCAGGAUCUCAAAUCAUGGGAAGGCAAGUGGUGGAACCAGGAUCUCAAAUCAUGGGAAGGCAAGUGGUGGAACCAGGAUCUCAAAUCAUGGGAAGGCAAGUGGAGGCAAGUGGUGGAACCUAAAUGGAUAGUCACAGUGGUGGAGGAGGAGAUGUGGUCAUGAGUUAUGGACAACUUUCUUCACAAUCUAAAUGUGGAGGCUAUAUCCUGUACCUAAUCAAUAAUCAAGUGGUGACAAGAUUGUGGGACCUAUCUGAAUAUUAUCCAAUGCAUGGUAAGAAGAAAGUGGCCUCUGACUCACUCUCCUCUUCUUUGACUUGAUGUCUUCUUGCCCUUCAUUUUCUUUAAUCCUUUUUGUCCUCGUUUUCUUAUGGCAUAACCAAAAUUGUUUUUAUAAAUUUAUUUGUUUUUCUUUACAAGAUUAGUAUGAAUUACUCGGACAUCAAUAGUUCAACAACAAAGAUUAGUAUGAAUUACUCGAACAUAAAUAGUUCAACAACAAAGCCACAAAGGUCUUAGUUACUAAGAUAUUUUCUUGAAUUUUCAAUAGGAUUACACAUUCUGAAACUCCAUUAUGCAGACAAAUUAGAAGUAUUGCCUACAAAAUGUGAUAAUUUUUCUUGUUUCUUCCUUCUUUCUCUCACUCUCCAUGCCAUUGCUUUAUAAUUUGAGCGGCUUGUUUUUGUAGUACCUUACUUUUGAGCUCUGACCCAUCUGUCUAAAACUCGCGGUAAUCAUGAUGCAUAACAAUAAAGAUUUUCAUUCUCGAAUUCUUAUUAUUAUUUUUUAUUCAUUUCGUUAACCGCCUUUUAAUGACUAGUUAAAAAGAAUCAAAUAUGAAAACCUAAAUAUUAUAUUAUUCAAAAUACGACAACUAAACUAAUCAUUUUAAUUCAUGUCCUUCAAUGGUGGAAAAUUCUGAAUGGGUUCAACGAUAAGGCCAACAAUAUUCAAUGAAAAAGAAUAGAACCAGGCAGCUAGGAAGCACAUAAAACAAAGUCGACACUCUGAUUUUUUAACAUCCCCUGUACCAUCUCGCAGUAUAUCCUCAGCUCAUCUUCUAUGAAACUACAGAUGUGACGUCCCCAAAAAUGUGAUUGUGAAAGGAGUAGCCCGCAACAUCAAAAUCAUUAUUAUCUAGAACUACGCAAGAUCCACUUAUAAUCUUUCUGUUCGAAAUUCUCACAUGUUUGAGAGAAGUUAUUUUUCAUUUGAUAAAGAGGAAGGAAAUGAAAUAUUUGUCAUUGCAUUGUGAAUCCCUCCCCUCAUCCUCCUUCCUCUCUGAUUAACCAAUAUGCAGCUCUAUUACUUACCAUGUCCUUUGUUACUGGCCUUUUCAGCCUCCGAACCUCAACCCCAAACGAGGCUCAGGAAUACUUUCAUUAGAGGAGUGAAAAGAGAGAAUAAUAGGGAAAGGUAUGCAAGGACUAGAUAUAACUUUCCCUU